AACGAACGCUGGCGGCAGGCUUAACACAUGCAAGUCGAACGCGCCGUCCUCUAGGCGGACGGCGCAGAAAUCAGAAACCGGAAACCAGAAAUCAGAAGGAAACGUACGGCGUGAAUCGCCGUCAAUUCUUCUGGCUUCUGGCUUCUGGCCUCUGGCUUCUGCGCCGCCCGCGUAGUGGGCGGCGAGUGGCAGACGGGUGAGUAACACGU
rnacentral:rRNA from 1 species